ensembl:lncRNA
GUCUCAGCAAACAUUCCUGCCUGGGAAUGUAUUUGCUAGAUAGUUGGCAAAAAGCUGGAGCUGAGGAGAUGUGAACUUACACCAAGAUGAAUUCCUGUAUACAAAACCCAGGCAGUGCAGAGCUGGGAGUAGCAGUUGAUUCACUGGAGGGCCAUGCUGCCAUUCAGAAAGACCUCGACAGGCUGGAGAAAUGAGCCCACAGGAACCUCCGUCAGCUCAACAAAAGGAAAUGCCAAAUCCUAAACCAGGGGAGGAACAAACCCAGGCACUACUACAGGAUGGGGAACCCCCAGCGGGAAGACAGCUGGAAGAGGAAAGACCUUAGGAUCUUGGUGGAUGCCAAGUUGAACAGGAGCCAGCAGUGUGCCUUUGUGGCACAUCCUCAGCAUUAGAGGAAUUGUUGCCAGCAGGUGGAGGGAGAUGAUCCUCUUUCCACUCAGCUCUGGUGAGAUGCAGCUGGGCUCCCAGUACAGGAGGCACAUGGACACUCUGAAAUGUGCCAAAUGAAGGAUCAAGAGCAGCAUGAAGAUUGGAUCAUUUAGCUUAUGAGAAGAGGCUGAGAGAGCUGGAGUUAUUUAGACUGGAGUAGGGAAGGCUGGAGUUAGUGGAGGACUUAUCAAUGGGCACAAAAUAAAACACAGGAAAUUCCAUUUCGAAAUAGAAAAUCCCUUACUGUAGUGGUCAAACACCAGAAUAGGUUGCUCAGAGAAACUCUGGAGACUCUACUCUUGGGAAUAUUAAAAACCCUACCAGAUGUGGUACUGAGCAGAGUGUUUGGACUAGACAGUCUGCAGAGCACCCUUCUGACCUCAGUGGUUCUGUGAUUUUAUUCCCAGUUUUAUUCCCAGUUUACAGCCAGUUGUUAACAUCAAAUAAAUUACUCAGCUACCAAUGAGUUGAAAUGACCCGCUAAAGAACUAAACUGAUUCUGUUUAGAGUGAAGGCCUACUGGACUGGAGUGGAUUAGUUGAGCCAGACAGGUCUGUCAACUGGAUAAACUGUCUUCUUCCUUUUACUCUGAGCUCCUCCCUUUGGCACACUCUGAGCAAUAGAACCUGUGAAAGCCAGUAUCCAGAGUUUAUGGUCUCUAGGUCUAGGAACUGUUUUUGUUAUAUGAAUAACAAAUGGAAGAGUGAGGCUGUAGCAAGAUCUUGGUAUAUCAGGUCAGAAUCUCUUCAGUUAUCAAGCAAUAUCUUAUUCUCUGGCUUUGGCUGGAGUGAGCACAUUUUUUUAGGGUUCAUGCCACAAGGUGUAGAGAACUGGCUACAGAUAUCAAUUUAAGCUAUUUUAUGGAAGAAGAAAGCAGUGUAUGAUGAAAAGCUAGGCCAGUGUUAUGAAUAUGUGCUAUAGCUUGUGCUGUUGAUCUAAUAGAAAUUCUGCUUGUUUUUCCAAAGCCUAUUAGAACUUAGAAGCUGGGAUUUCAAGGUGUUAUUCUGUUAGUGAUAGAGAGAGGAUGGAACUGAAAUCCUCUCACUUUUUUUCAUGACACUGUGGGAAAUAAUUUCAAGUUUUGAUCGGGUCUGAGGAAGAAGGCAAGGAGGUCUCAAAGGUCAGGCUGUGAUCAUUAGAAUCUAGGAGGUCUCCCAGGGGUACAGGCAAGUUAAGGGCUCUGCAAAACUAAGGUCACAACUAAGUAUGGGCUGCCUGGGGAUAAACUAAUACCUUAGAAAAUGGACUGGAAUGGAGACCAUCCAGCUUCUGCAUUGGAAGGCUUUGUACUUCCUAGGCUAAUCUAGCCUUGAGUGAACCAAAAGUAAUAAGAAGUUCCUUGAUCAUCUGUUGUUCUAGGCUUUCCUGUUAUGGUGUUUUCUUUAAGAUUGUCUCUAUUUCUUUUUGCUCUAUACUGAGAUACUUGAGCCAGUGGCAUGGGAGUACUAGUGACAGGGUGGAUUUGUCAAUUAAGCAUCUAAAAAGCUUCAGUAAAGAUCUGUGAAAACAUGAGUGUUCUCAGUAAAAUAUCUUUCAUUCUGGAAAAGUCAAGGAAGUCAUGAAACCAUAAGGUAGCAGAAAGAAGUUCUGCAACUGUUUUAUCUUAACUUGACAAACAAACAGGUAUAUGCUUCUGGUUUCCUCUUCUCUCCUUAUGGAUAAGAAGCUAUGGCUUUCAAAAUGCAAUUUAAACGUGGAGUUCAAUGUUCCCAUACCCCCAGCUCACUUCUAAUUGAGAUAAAAUACAAACUACUCACUCUAAUGUUCAAGAGCCAAGAAAUGCCUUGUGGUUAAGGCAAGUUUGGCUAUUAGUCACUUUCUGAGUCCCAGUUCUGCCAGCAACAGUAUGUGACAUCAGCAAGUAAGCUUUCCUGGUAUGGGAAAGUACUUCACUAUGAAUUUCCCUGGAUUAUAUUCUUGUUCCAUUAAAGCUAAUCCUGUCCUUCGAGCAGGAUAUUGAUUCAGAUUCUGCUUUCUUACUGACUGUACACUGCAAAUGAGAACGACAGCCUCCCAAAUCAUCUGGUUUUCCUUUGUAGAUAGACUUUCAGUUUCCAGCUGAAGAGGAUAAAUAUUUCUGGGGGCUGCAGCACUAGGAAGUGCUGGUACACUCACAGCUGGGGCAGUCAGGGAGUAAAAAUGUGCCACUAGGACACUGCUUUCUGACCUACUGUUAUUAUUUCUGAGAGAACUAAUGGUACUGUGAGAGAAAAAAAGAGCAAACAGAAAAGAGAUUACUCAUUCCAGGAAGAAAAUUCUGAUGAUCAGGGAAGAAGAAAAAGGAAGGACUGAAAUUCAUCCCAUCAAACAUCUCAGAGCUUACUCUGUGGUCUCAUCUGCAGCCUCAGUGGGGUUUCAGGCAAAAUCUGCAUGUGAAUGAACACAAGGAGGCUCAAACGUGCGACUGUUAAUUGCAGACAACCGUGGGAGUGAUGAUGCCAAGGUUGUCACUGUAAUGCCAAAAGGAUCCAACUGGAGUGGUUAAAAAUCAUGUAGGACUGUAUUUAGAGCUUGUACUCACCUCUCGUGGUGUCUAUGCAAAUCCUGCUUGACUUAUCAUCACUCUUCAAAAUGAGGCACAUUUCUGAAGUUCCUAAAUUCAGGCAGUAGUAGUUCCUGAACUCAGGUAGAAUUUCUGAAUUUUUCACUCUAAGCACCCAUGCAGUGGUUAUCCCUGUCUGGCCCUUGUCUGUGGUAGUGCCCCAUCUCACUACAACCAUCUCACUGAUCCUGUGCUGAAUCACCUUGCAGACUGCAUCGUUCCUACCUGGCCAGGGAGGUGCAGGAAGCUGGUGGAGAAAGCAAACCAGCCUCUUCUGCCUGUAGACACAGCUGGGAAAGCUUUGCCCUGCCUGUGUUCUGCACUGAAAUAACUGCUCAGUAUACCACUGAUGCCAGAAAGUGCUGUUACCAUGGAUGGGAAUAAAUCAAUAUACAAAAAUUCCUCUCUACUAAGUAAUGCUGAAUGUACCACAAUUAUGCUUAUCUGUUGGCCUCAAUAUUUUGCAUUAUAGCUCCUGCAAAAUUUUUGUGUAAGGUAGAACUGCAUCAAAUGACUCUUCCCUCAAAAUGCUAGUACACUCCUGCAGGUGCAGGGCAGCAGAAGACUAUCGAUAGAGCAGGCUGAAAUGUGAACUGGUGACUUCAUUGGCUUCCCAUAAAGUUAAUUCUCCAGGGACUUGACAGAAGCCGUGAAAUUAUGCCAAGAAUUAAAGCCAGAACAAAGUUGGAAGGAUGAGUCUGUCUCCUGUCUGAAUCAAAUCACAGUGGAUACAGCAAGUUGGCUGCUGCUCACAUACAGACCAAAGCUCCUGCAGUCCACUCUCUUCAAAGUCUGUGCAAGAGCGUGAGCCCAGGUACUCUGAACAUUGCACAAGUAGCAGCAGUGCUCCUUCUGAGGCAUGUGCCACAUACACACAUGUAUCCAGUGGGGUGAAU